GGGUGGCGCCUCCGGGGGCGGGAGCAGAGAGACAAGGAAAUGCUGUCACCGCCGUUAACACGCACGUGGAGGUUUGUUAAAGGUAGUUGGGAGUCUAGUUCCUAGGUAAUGCCAGCCAUAGCUGAGGGCCAGGGGAGCAGGUGGCUGUGCAAAGCCACUUCCAGCCUGUGGUCAAAGGGCUGAGACAUGGAAAAUCUACCAGUGCCCAUUCCGGCUUAGGCCUGGCUGGGGCAGGCUUGGGUCAAGUCCUCUCUGUAGUCCCGGUUUCCACCAACAUCAGGAAGGGGAGCCGCAAGAACCAUCUAGGCAGGCGCCCGGGGACUGUGUCAGGAAGACCUGGGUUUAAGCCCUGCCUCCAUCAAUCUCAAGAUGCGGGACCUCAGGGAAGGGAGGAGAGGUACCACCAAGGAUAUGCACGGAAGCCGCCAUCACCCGACUUCCUCAUCUGUCAGCCAGAAGCCAAGCCAGCCGGGAAAGAAGCGUCUCUCAGCCAGGAUCCCUGACAAGGACAUGCCUGCUCCGUGGGGAAGUCUUAGGUACUAUACACUUGGCCUUCACCACAAAAGCCCCGCGGCCCAGAGCCAAGGCGUUCCAACCAUUUAGACCACGAACCACACUUAUAAAAACAGUUUACGUGAGGACCCAGUGUGUGCACACCCACACGCUUCCCUGUCCUGGGCUCAUGCGGUGAGUCUCCUGAAAUACAAUCUGCUCUUACUAUGUGUGAUGGGCUUCGGUAUUUUUCUACUCUACUUCGUUUUUUUAAAUGCUGGUAGUGACUCACUCAAUUGGUUCUGUGCCCUAGAGAAUGGAAAAUGUGGCUUUAGAGUAGCUGAUCCACUACCCAAGCUUGGAAAACCAGGCGAAGACCAAGCAAAGUUCAACUCGCAGAUGUCACAAAACAGAGAAGGAUGAUAGCGUUCUUACCCUGGACUCAAAUCAGUUUGGAGAUGGGGCUGGGAUCAGAGCGAUUCUUCAGUUAGGAAGUUAAAGCAGCAUUUACUGAAGCAAGCGGCCAGAACUGCUGGGGCUGACAUUGUACCUUUUCUGUUUGGUUUCAUUUUCCUCCCCAGCCGGCUCCUGAAAUAACCCUCUAGCUCUCAAACCAAUGUUUGUAAGUAUCUCUCCGAGUGUCCCUCUGAGCUUUGUGGCCCCUGGGCUGCGGCUUGGGCGACCAAAGCAGAGACUGAUCUCCCUGUCAUUGCAGAAUUAUAUCCGGGGAUUAACCAUGAAAGGGAAAAAAAGCAGCAUUUCCAGUUGGGUGUUUGAAAAUGAAAAGUGGUUCAGAAGGAGCGCAGAUACGUAACUGCAAGACUGUGAUCAAAGGCACUUUGAACCUCAUUAAUUUGGAACUUUGUAUUUAAACGUGUAAUUUGGACAUAAGUUGUGCUUAAAUCUGUCUUCGUACUAUUCACAGCGAGGCUAACUAGCGUAUGAAAACUGCAAAGGGACCCCGGGGCAUCAUCACGCAAUUGUUUUUAUGCCACUUCUACCAU